rnacentral:lncRNA from 1 species
GAUCCUGGCUGCGGAAAGAGAACUCUUGUGCAAAAAGAGCACUGGAAAAGACAGGAGAGGCCAGAGCAGUCAUUCCAAAGUUAAAAAGACUGAGUCAAGAGGGUCGGGGCAAAUCACGGGGAAAGAAAGAGGGUUAAGUCGCAAGUAUAUUUUGAAUAAAUCACUCAAUGUGGGUGUGCAAGGCUUAUUAGAAAAACAAACGCCUGGCGGGGCGUGGUGACUCACGCUUGUAGUCCCAACACUUUGGGAGGCCUAGGCGGGAAAAUCACGAGGUUAGGAGAUCGAGACCAUCCUGGCCAACACAGUGAAACCCGGCCCUACUAAAAAUACAAAAGUGCGUAGUGGUGAUGCCAGCCUGUAGUCCCAGCUACUCCGGAGGCUGAGGCAGGAGAAUCGCUUGAUUUCGGGAGACGGAGGUUGCAGUGAGCCGAGAUCGGACCACUAAACUACACCUUGGAGACAAGAGUAAGACUCCGUGCCAAAAAAAAAAAAAAAAAGAAAAAGGAAAAACAGACGCCUCAGGAAACAAACCGUGUGGAACUAAAGGAAGAUGGAGUUUCCUUCUGUUGCCCAGGCUGGCAUGUGGUGCACUGCAACUUGUAUCUCCCGGGUUCAAGCGAUUCAUGUGUUUCAGCCUCCCAAGCAGCUGGGACUAUAGGCAUGCACCGCCAUGCUUGGCCUCCCAAAGUGCUGGGAUUACAGAUGUUACAUUUCAAGAAUAAUGUUGCUAUUCACCCAGCAUUUAUUGUCCAACUUACUGAUCUCCUUUGGAGCAAACAAUGACUUCACAACCAAAUCACAUUUGACAGUGACUUCAGGAGAAGUGCAGGCUUAUGUAAUUCAAACAGAGAAUUUGUGCAGAAAACGUCUCAAGUCAGGUAUAAUUAAUUCUCCUUCAUUUUGGAUAUUAAUGUUAUUAUUUCCACAAGUACAUGUCUUUACUUCCAUGAGAUCAUGUCUUUAUUUUUCAGGAGAAAAUAAAUGUGAUGUGAUAAUAAACAUUAGAAAAGAUAAGAGAAAUAUUCUAUUAUAUCCUUAA